UUCAGAUUUGAAAUAGCUCAGCUGGGAUUCCAUCACCUCCACUUGUUUGCGAUAAUACUUCCUAAGGCCCAGUUGACUUCACAUUCCAGGAUGUCCGGCUCUAGUUGAGUGAUCACACCAUCAUGGUUUUUUGGGUCAUUAAGAUCUUUUUUGUAAAGUUCUAUUUCUUCUGUGUAUUCUUGCCACCUCUUCUUAAUAUCUU